rnacentral:lncRNA from 1 species
GCAAGGAAAAAAGCUUCAGACAAGGGAAACAAGUGGGUGGUGGUCUGGAAAGAUUGUUAACACUGACUGAAGGUGCUGGGAUUGCUCUGCAGGCUCUGAGGCAUGUCUGCACCAUACUGGGAUGUCCUUGCUACGCACUCUGCUGCCCUUUCUAAGGUUGAAGAUUUCUUAUCUCUCCAGGUUCUUCCCUGUAUCAGCCUCACUUCACAUCUUUGUGCAUUUUCUGCUGCCACUCUGUUGCUUUGGGAAGAGAUGAAGAGAUGCCAGU